rnacentral:pre_miRNA from 1 species
UGUAUACUUCCUCCGUUUCGAAUUACUUGUCGCGGGUAUGGAUGUAUCUAGAUGUAUUUUAGUUCUAGAUACAUCCAUUUCUGCGACGAAUAAUUUAAAACGGAGGGAGUAGAUC